rnacentral:rRNA from 1 species
GACGAACGCUGGCGGCGUGCUUAACACAUGCAAGUCGAACGGAAAGGCCCUGCUUUUGUGGGGUGCUCGAGUGGCGAACGGGUGAGUAACACGUGAGUAACCUGCCCUUGACUUUGGGAUAACUUCAGGAAACUGGGGCUAAUACCGGAUAGGAGCUCCUGCUGCAUGGGGGGGGUUGGAAAGAUUCGGCGGUUGGGGAUGGACUCGCGGGUUAUCAGCUUGUUGGUGGGGUAGUGGUUUACCAAGGCUUUGACGGGUAGCCGGCAUGGGAGGGUGACCGGCCACAUGGGGACUGAGAUACGGCCCAGACUCGUACGGGAGGCAGCAGUGGGGAAUAUUGCACAAUGGGCGGGCGCGUGAUGCAGCAACGCCGCGUGCGGGAUGACGGCCUUCGGGUGGUAAACCGCUUUCGCCUGUGACGAAGCGUGAUUGACGGUAAUGGGUAAAGAAGCACCGGCUAACUACGUG